CAAACGACUCUCGGCAACGGAUAUCUCGGCUCUUGCAUUGAUGAAGAACGUAGCGAAAUGCGAUACUUGGUGCGAAUUGCAGAAUCCCGUGAACCAUCGAGUCUUUGAACGCAAGUUGCGCCCGAGGCCAUUAGGUCGAGGGCACGUCUGCCUGGGCGUCACAC
rnacentral:rRNA from 1 species